rnacentral:rRNA from 1 species
GGUUGAUCCUGCCAGUAGUUAUAUGCUCGUUUCGUAGGCUAAGCCAUGCAAAUGUCAGUAUGAGGAGUUAUACAACGAAACUGCGAACAGCUCAUUACAACAAUUAUAGUCUAUGUGGAUAUAAUUGCUACACGGAUACCUGUGGUAAUUCUGGAGCUAAUACGUGAAUCAACAUCCAUUUGGAUGGCACUUAUUGGAUAAGAACCAACCUAUGGCAACAUAGAGAUCUGGUGAUCCAUGAUAAGGUUGCGAAUCGCAUGGCGUAUGCUGGCGAUAUUCCACCUGAGUUUUU